AGGCGGCCGGAUAGCUGCGCAGCAGAAAGUAACAUCUGUUUGUGAGGAAAGUCCGGGCUUCGGAGAAACAAAACACCGGAUAACUUCCGGCUGGAGAAAUCCAAGGGAAAGUGCCACAGAAAAUUACCGCCCCGGCUUUGUCCGAGGUAAGGUUGAAAAGGCGGAGUAAGAGCCCACCGCAAAAGCAGCAAUGCUUUUGGUCAAGGUAAACCCUGUUUGAAGCAAGACCAAGUUAGGGGAGUUAUUUAUAACUUCACGGAGCGUUUCUCCUCCACCCCAGAGGUAGGUCGCGACGAGCCGUUUGGCGACAGACGGCCAAGAUGAAUAGCUAUCGCCGCAAAUCUUUGCUUUUGCAAAGCUAAUGCGUGUACAGAACCCGGCUUACAGGCCGCCUUA
rnacentral:RNase_P_RNA from 1 species